rnacentral:rRNA from 1 species
AGAUUGAACGCUGGCGGCAUGCCUCACACAUGCAAGUCGAACGGCAGCACGGGAGCAAUCCUGGUGGCGAGUGGCGAACGGGUGAGUAAUACAUCGGAACGUGCCCAAUCGUGGGGGAUAACGCAGCGAAAGCUGUGCUAAUACCGCAUAAGAUCUACGGAUGAAAGCAGGGGAUCGCAAGACCUUGCGCGAAUGGAGCGGCCGAUGGCAGAUUAGGUAGUUGGUGAGGUAAAGGCUCACCAAGCCUUCGAUCUGUAGCUGGUCUGAGAGGACGACCAGCCACACUGGGACUGAGACACGGCCCAGACUCCGUA